AUUGAACGCUGGCGGCAUGCCUUACACAUACAAGUCGAACGGUAACAGGUCUUCGGAUGCUGACGAGUGGCGAACGGGUGAGUAAUACAUCGGAACGUGCCCGAUCGUGGGGGAUAACGAAGCGAAAGCUUUGCUAAUACCGCAUAAGAUCUACGGAUGAAAGCAGGGGACCGCAAGGCCUUGUGCGAACGGAGCGGCCGAUGGCAGAUUAGGUAGUUGGUGGGAUAAAAGCUUACCAAGCCGACGAUCUGUAGCUGGUCUGAGAGGACGACCAGCCACACUGGGACUGAGACACGGCCCAGACUCCUACGGGAGGCAGCAGUGGGGAAUUUUGGACAAUGGGCGAAAGCCUGAUCCAGCCAUGCCGCGUGCAGGAUGAAGGCCUUCGGGUUGUAAACUGCUUUUGUACGGAACGAAAAGACUCUUUCUAAUAAAGAGGGUCCAUGACGGUACCGUAAGAAUAAGCACCGGCUAACUACGUGCCAGCAGCCGCCGUAACAC
rnacentral:rRNA from 1 species